CCUACGGGUGGCAGCAGUGAGGAAUAUUGGUCAAUGGCCGGAAGGCUGAACCAGCCAUGCCGCGUGAAGGUCAGUGCCCUAUGGGCGUUAAACUUCUUUUGUGCGGGAGCAAUAAUGGUCACGUGUGGCCAGACGAGAGUACCGUACGAAUAAGCAUCGGCUAACUCCGUUCCAGCAGCCGCGGUGAUACGGGGGAUGCAAGCGUUAUCCGGAUUUAUUGGGUUUAAAGGGUGCGUAGGGUGGGAGGUAAGUCAGCGGUGAAAUGCCCAGGCUCAACGGGGUGAAGUGCCAUUGAUACUGGCUUGCUGGAAUGCGGAGGCCGUGUGAGGAAUGUGUGGUGUAGCGGUGAAAUGCAUAGAUAUCACACAGAACACCGAUUGCGAAGGCAGCUCACGAAUCCGCGAUUGACGCUGAUGCACGAAAGCGUGGGUAUCAAACAGGAUUAGAUACCCCAGUAGUC
rnacentral:rRNA from 1 species